GAUGAACGCUGGCGGCGUGCCUAAUACAUGCAAGUCGAGCGAACGGACGAGAAGCUUGCUUCUCUGAUGUUAGCGGCGGACGGGUGAGUAACACGUGGAUAACCUACCUAUAAGACUGGGAUAACUUCGGGAAACCGGAGCUAAUACCGGAUGAUAUUUUGAACCGCAUGGUUCAAAAGUGAAAGACGGUCUUGCUGUCACUUAUAGAUGGAUCCGCGCUGCAUUAGCUAGUUGGUAAGGUAACGGCUUACCAAGGCAACGAUGCAUAGCCGACCUGAGAGGGUGAUCGGCCACACUGAAACUGAGACACGGUCCAGACUCCUACGGGAGGCAGCAGUAGGGAAUCUUCCGCAAAGGGCGGAAGCCUGACGGAGCAACGCCGCGUGAGUGAUGAAGGUCUUCGGAUCGUAAAACUCUGUUAUUAGGGAAGAACAUAUGUGUAAGUAACUGUGCACAUCUUGACGGUACCUAAUCAGAAAGCCACGGCUAACUACGUG
rnacentral:rRNA from 1 species